rnacentral:tRNA from 1 species
GCCGGCCUAGCUCAAUUGGUAGAUCAACUGACUUGUAAUCAGUAGGUUGGGGGUUCAAGUCCUCUGGCCGGCACCA